ACUUCAUAAUAUGACAAACUGUCAGACAGCAGCAAAGCAAAUACCAGCCUGGGAUGACGAAGAGUCCAGGUUCAAUCUGACUUCCCACGAGUGCUGUAUAGUAGCUUUGGCUCUCUUACUCUGUAAACUAGGCUGGCUGGCUCCUUCUUACUAUAAAUGUUUUGAGAACUUCAUGUGUAAAUACUGUAUUUACAUCAUUUCUCCCCUUAAAAUGCCUUCUGUCUUUCCUCACUCAAAACUCAUGAUCUCUUUAAUUUUUGUCUUGCACGCAUCCACUCACGCACAUGAACAUACAAGAGAGAGAGAGAGAGAGAGAGAGAGAGCGCAGGCUUGCUGAGUAC
rnacentral:lncRNA from 1 species